GAUGAACGCUGGCGGCGUGCCUAAUACAUGCAAGUCGAGCGAACGGACGAGAAGCUUGCUUCUCUGAUGUUAGCGGCGGACGGGUGAGUAACACGUGGAUAACCUACCUAUAAGACUGGGAUAACUUCGGGAAACCGGAGCUAAUACCGGAUGAUAUUUUGAACCGCAUGGUUCAAAAGUGAAAGACGGUCUUGCUGUCACUUAUAGAGGGAUCCGCGCUGCAUUAGCUAGUUGGUAAGGUAACGGCUGACCAAGGCAACGAUGCAUAGCCGACCUGGGAGGGUGAUAGGCCACACUGGGACUGAGACACGGUCCAGACUCCGACGGGAGGCAGCAGUAGGGAACCUUCCGCAAUGGGCGAAAGCCUGACGGAGCAACGCCGCGUGAGUGAUGAAGGUAUUCGGAUCGUAAAACUCUGUUAUUAGGGAAGAACAUCUGUGUAAGUAACUGUGCACAUCUUGACGGUACCUAAUCAGAAAGCCACGGCUAACUACGUG
rnacentral:rRNA from 1 species